rnacentral:tRNA from 1 species
AAUUCUGUAUUCAAUGAUGAUUUUUGAUUGCAAAUCUAAAGGUACUAUUUAGUCAGGAUUU